GCGUAAUAGGCCUCACUGGUUCGAGUUCGGCCUUGCGCGGAAGAUGUAACCGGGGGCUAAACCAUGCACCGAAGCUUGCGGCAAGCCGACGCGUUAUGCCGAUUGUUGGGUAGGGGUAGCGUUCUGUGAAGCCCAGUUGUGAAGGUGUGCUCGUGAGGUAUGCCUGGAGGUAUCAGAAGUGCGUAAUAGGCCUCACUGGUUCGAGUUCGGCCUUGCGCGGAAGAUGUAACCGGGGGCUAAACCAUGCACCGAAGCUUGCGGCAAGCCGACGCGUUAUGC
rnacentral:rRNA from 1 species